UAUGUGAUCGUCUCUCGCAUAUCAAUAAGCGGAGGAAAAGAAACUAACAAGGAUUCCCCUAGUAACGGCGAGUGGAGCGGGAAGAGCUCAAAUUUGAAAUCUUAAAGGGUUUCCCUUUACGAAUUGUAGUUUAAAGAAGUGUUUUCUGUUGAGGUUUUGGUAAAAGUUCUUUGGAAUAGGACAUCAUAGAGGGUGAGAAUCCCGUAUUUGACCUUUACUUUCAACUUUGUGAUACACUUUCAAAGAGUCGGAUUGUUUGGGAAUGCAGUCCAAAAUGGGUGGUAAAUUUCAUCUAAAGCUAAAUAUUGGCGAGAGACCGAUAGCGAACAAGUACCGUGAGGGAAAGAUGAAAAGAACUUUGAAAAGAGAGUUAAACAGUACGUGAAAUUGUCAAAAGGGGAAGCGUUUGACACCAGUGUUGUUUUUCUGAAAAUCAAUUAAAGAACUGUUUAUGCUAAGUUGUUUAGACUUUAUCAGCUAUCUGUUUAGUUUUGAGCUUUUCUUUAAUGCACUUUUCAGUUAACAAGUCAACAUCAAUUUCUUUUGCUGUAAAAAAGCUUGAGGAAGGUGGCUUGAGAUUCGUCUUAAGUGUUUAUAGCCUCUUGCCUAUGCAGUCGGAGAGAUUGAGGUCUGCAGCGUAGAUCCUUCGGGGCUAAAUGCAUUUGUGCUAAGUUAUAGCAUUUUAUAGACAACUUGUUGACUAUGAUUUGUACUUGUAGCUUACUCGCUUAUGUUAUUUUACCUACGCUUAGGAUGUUGACUGAUAUGUAGUCGU
rnacentral:rRNA from 1 species